rnacentral:rRNA from 1 species
AUUGAACGCUGGCGGCAGGCCUAACACAUGCAAGUCGAGCGGUAACAGGAGAGCUUGCUCUCGCUGACGAGCGGCGGACGGGUGAGUAACGCGUAGGAAUCUACCCAGUAGCGGGGGAUAGCCCGGGGAAACUCGGAUUAAUACCGCAUACGCCCCAAGGGGGAAAGCAGGGGAUCUUCGGACCUUGCACUAUUGGAAGAGCCUGCGUUGGAUUAGCUAGUUGGUAGGGUAAAGGCCUACCAAGGCGACGAUCCAUAACUGGUCUGAGAGGAUGAUCAGUCACACCGGAACUGAGACACGGUCCGGACUCCUACGGGAGGCAGCAGUGGGGAAUAUUGGACAAUGGGGGCAACCCUGAUCCAGCCAUGCCGCGUGUGUGAAGAAGGCCUUCGGGUUGUAAAGCACUUUAAGUAGGGAAAAAGGCUCGCUGGCUAAUAUCCAGCGGGAUUGAUACUACCUACAGAAUAAGCACCGGCUAACUCUGUG